CUACGGGUGGCUCCAGUGGGGAAUAUUGCACAAUGGGGGAAACCCUGAUGCAGCAACGCCGCGUGGAGGAUGACACAUUUCGGUGCGUAAACUCCUUUUAUAGGUCAAGAUAAUGACGGUAGCCUAUGAAUAAGCGCCGGCUAACUCCGUGCCAGCAGCCGCGGUAAUACGGAGGGCGCAAGCGUUACUCGGAAUCACUGGGCGGAAAGAGCAUGUAGGCGGGUUAAUAAGUCAGAAGUGAAAUCCAAUAGCUCAACUAUUGAACUGCUUUUGAAACUGUUAACCUAGAGUGUGGGAGAGGUAGAUGGAAUUUCUGGUGUAGGGGUAAUAUCCGUAGAGAUCAGAAGGAAUACCGAUUGCGAAGGCGAUCUACUGGAACAUUACUGACGCUGAGAUGCGAAAGCGUGGGGAGCAAACAGGAUUAGAUACCCUGGUAGUC
rnacentral:rRNA from 1 species